CCGAAACCGGCGAGGACGGGGGGCGUCCGCCCCCAGGGCGCGAACCUCCCCGACGCCGCGGGAGCCAACCCAAGCCCGGAACGGCCCUUCAGGGGCGCCGUCCGGGCGGACAAAGGCGGCGCACAGCCGGGGAAUUUUCUCCAGCUAAUUUUACAGAUGAGAAAACUGAGGCAAACGGAACUUAAGUGACUAAACCAGAGUCAAAGAGAUUAAGCAACUAUGAGCAUGAAAACCAAAUGGGGCAGUUAAGUGGCAGAGUAAAUAGAGUACUUGCCUUGGAGUCAGGAGGACCGGACUUCAAAAGGGGUCUCAGAUACUUACUAGCUGUAUGACCUUGGGCAUUGUACUAAGAGCUAAUUAUAUGAAGACAAAAGACAAGAUCUACCCUCAAGAAACCCCCAGUCUAAUGAAUGAGAAGACAUGCAAAUGGCUAUGUAUAACAAGUAACAUCCAUGAUUAACUGGUAAUUUUGGGAGGGAGGCACUAAUAGUUGGGAGAAUCAGGAAGCGUUUUUGUAUAAAAGGUGAUGCUUGAGUUGAGAUUUGAAGGAAACAAGGAUUUCUAAGAGAUGGUAG
rnacentral:lncRNA from 1 species